AAAAUCUGCCUAUCAGAGGGGAAUAACAGUGAGAAAUCAUUGCUAAUACCGCAUAUGCCAUAGUUAUCGCAUGAUAAUAGUGGGAAAGGAGCAAUCCGCUGAUAGAUGAGCUUGCGUCUGAUUAGCUAGUUGGUGGGGUAACGGCCUACCAAGGCGACGAUCAGUAGCCGGACUGAGAGGUUGAACGGCCACAUUGGGACUGAGAUACGGCCCAGACUCCUACGGGAGGCAGCAG
rnacentral:rRNA from 1 species